CGCGGCCUAUCAGCUUGUUGGUGAGGCAACGGCCCACCAAGGCGACGACGGGUAGCCGGCCUGAGAGGGUGACCGGCCACACUGGGACUGAGACACGGCCCAGACUCCUACGGGAGGCAGCAGUGGGGAAUAUUGCACAAUGGGCGCAAGCCUGAUGCAGCAACGCCGCGUGAGGGACGACGGCCUUCGGGUUGUAAACCUCUUUUAGUAGGGAAGAAGCGAAAGUGACGGUACCUGCAGAAAAAGCGCCGGCUAACUACGUGCCAGCAGCCGCGGUAAUACGUAGGGUGCAAGCGUUGUCCGGAAUUAUUGGGCGUAAAGAGCUCGUAGGCGGUUUGUUGCGUCGGCUGUGAAAUCCCGAGGCUCAACCUCGGGUCUGCAGUCGAUACGAGCAAACUAGAGUGUUGCAGGGGAGACUGGAAUUCCUGGUGUAGCGGUGAAAUGCGCAGAUAUCAGGAGGAACACCGGUGGCGAAGGCGGGUCUCUGGGCAACAACUGACGCUGAGGAGCGAAAGCGUGGGGAGCGAACAGGAUUAGAUACCCUGGUAGUCCACGCCGUAAACGUUGGGCGCUAGGUGUGGGGCUCAUUCUACGAGUUCCGCGCCGCAGCUAACGCAUUAAGCGCCCCGCCUGGGGAGUACGG
rnacentral:rRNA from 1 species